GACGAACGCUGGCGGCGUGCUUAACACAUGCAAGUCGAACGGAAAGGCCCCUUUGGGGGUCCUCGAGUGGCGAACGGGUGAGUAACACGUGAGUAACCUGCCCUUGACUUCGGGAUAACUUCAGGAAACUGGGGCUAAUACCGGAUAGGAAUCCUUGCUGCAUGGUGGGGGUUGGAAAGCUUCGGCGGUUUUGGAUGGACUCGCGGCUUAUCAGCUUGUUGGUGGGGUAGUGGCUUACCAAGGCUUUGACGGGUAGCCGGCCUGAGAGGGCGACCGGCCACAUUGGGACUGAGAUACGGCCCAGACUCCUACGGGGGGCAGCAGUGGGGAAUAUUGCACAAUGGGCGGAAGCCUGAUGCAGCAACGCCGCGGGCGGGAUGACGGCCUUCGGGUUGUAAACCGCUUUCAGCAGGGGCGAAGCUUGUGGUGACGGUACCUGCAGAAGAAGCACCGGCUAACUACGUG
rnacentral:rRNA from 1 species